rnacentral:rRNA from 1 species
GACGAACGCUGGCGGCGUGCUUAACACAUGCAAGUCGAACGGAGUGGCGAACGGGCGAGUAACACGUGGGUGACCUGCCCUGCACUUCGGGAUAAGCCUGGGAAACUGGGUCUAAUAUUGGAUCGCGUGGGAUGGGCCCGCGGCCUACAAGAUUGUUGGUGGGGUAAUGGCCUACCAAGGAGGCGACGGGUAGCCGGUCUGAGAGGGUGGACGGCCACAUUGGGACUGAGACACGGCCCAGACUCCUACGGGGGGCAGCAGUGGGGAAGAGUGCACAAUGGGCGGAAGCCUGGUGCAGCGACGCCGCGUGGGAGAUGACGGCCUUCGGGUUGUAAUCUCCUUUCACCAUCGACGCGGAGGAUGGAGAAGAAGCACCGGCUAACUACGUGCCAGCAGCCGCGGUAAUAC